AACGUAGGAGGCGAGCGUUAUCCGGAGUUACUGGGCGUAAAGCGUCUGUAGGUGGCAGCACACGUCUGAUGUGAAAGCUCCUGGCUAAACUGGGAGAGGGCGUCGGAUACGGUGCAGCUAGAGGACAGUAGAGGGGUGUAGAAUUCCGGGUGUAGUGGUGAAAUGCGUAGAGAUCCGGAGGAAUACCAGUGGCGCAAGCGGCACCCUGGGCUGUAACUGACACUGAGAGACGAAGGCAUGGGGAGCGAACGGG
rnacentral:rRNA from 1 species